AGGAAACGAGAGGAGGGGCCAGCCCCAGGCCCCAAAAUACCCAUGGCA
rfam:Mus musculus chromosome X, GRC primary reference assembly.